AUUGAACGCUGGCGGCAUGCCUUACACAUGCAAGUCGAACGGUAACGCGGGGCAACCUGGCGACGAGUGGCGAACGGGUGAGUAUAUAUCGGAACGUGCCCAGUAGUGGGGGAUAGCCCGGCGAAAGCCGGAUUAAUACCGCAUACGACCUACGGGUGAAAGCGGGGGAUCGCAAGACCUCGCGCUAUUGGAGCGGCCGAUAUCAGAUUAGCUAGGUGGUGGGGUAAAAGCCUACCAAGGCGACGAUCUGUAGCUGGUCUGAGAGGACGACCAGCCACACUGGGACUGAGACACGGCCCAGACUCCUACGGGAGGCAGCAGUGGGGAAUUUUGGACAAUGGGCGCAAGCCUGAUCCAGCCAUGCCGCGUGUGGGAAGAAGGCCUUCGGGUUGUAAACCACUUUUGUCAGGGAAGAAACGGUCUGGUCUAAUAAACCGGACUAAUGACGGUACCUGAAGAAUAAGCACCGGCUAACUACGUGCCAGCCGCCGCCGUAA
rnacentral:rRNA from 1 species